AGAUGAUAUUUUUUUGAUUACAAAUCGUUCGCGUCGAUCUUGAAAUAUGCUGAUUUUCCACUCGGCGGUAAUCUAUUUUUAAAAAAAUUUUCAGAUUUCCAACAGUUGUUUCCAUUAAAAUUAAAAGUCCGACAACAAAUGUCAAUAUAUCGGAUUUAUUUUGAUUGAUUUUGAAUUUCCUUGGCUACAAGGGGGAAAACACGACUAAUACUACUCUGUUCAAAAUCGUUUAUUGAUAGCAAUGAUUUGUCGUCGCUUUCAGUAUGUAAACUAAAUCAUCCUACAUCUUAUACUUUUGAAAAGUCCCACCUAUUACAGCGACCUACCCAUGAUAGGAAGUACGUUCACUUUUUUAAAUUAGCAUUUUAAGGUAAUGUGUAACAUUUUCAAAUUGUAAAUAGUAACAAAAGGAUCCAAAGGGGGAAUUGGAUGAAUGCCCUGGAGUUCAUAGAAAAUUUAAAUAUAAGUAAAUAGGUGUUUAAUAAUUGUGGUCAUUAAAUAUAAAAGUGAUUGUAAAUAAAAUGUGCAGUUUGAAAUGCGUGUAUAAUUUUUUUUAAUCAAUAUUAUGAGAGGGUUUAGUUAAGCACCUUCAAUCAGAACAGGUAUGCUGUUUGUUGUGUUUUUUAAUCGA